ACAGCCAAACACUGCCAAAAGAAAAUCCCUAAUUUUCUAGGAGAGAGACUUGAGAGAAAAAAGGAUAGAGUUUUUAGGGUUUCAUCAAAAUUUUGGCAAAUUCAAACUAUUUGGUCUGGAAUUCGCAAUUAGGUUCGACGUUAAUCGAAUUUCUUGGGCUGCGACAUUCUCUCACGUCGCUUGAUUGUUGUUCAUCGAGCAGGAGGGUUGAUUUGGGCUUCGCAUAAUAGUUCGAACAGGAGGGUCUGGAAUUCACGGCCAAGGCUACAUAUGGAUGACACAUAAAGAACCGGGAACUGAUCUAUGGGACCUGGUAAUGAGAAGCCAGCAAUUGUGGCAGAUGUUUGUAGACAACUUACAAGAUUAAGGCAUUAAUCCUCUCCAGUCAGUAGGUUUGAAGAAGACAGGAGCAUGGUGCGCUAAAUGGAGAAGAAAUGUAGAUCUAGCAAUGAGACGGUGGAGGCUCUUAUUUGUUUUGGGUCGUUUUGUAAUUCCUAGUAACAUUGAAUUUGUUUCUAUGGAUUUUAAUUUUAUGUACUUUUGUCAUUAAAAACACCAAAUUAAUUAGUGAACAACUAUUUUGUAAUGAAGGUGUCAUAUGGGCACUAAUAUUGUAAUAUUACUUUUCAAGUCAAUGAAAAUCUUUUGUUAUUAUUAUUA